GACGAACGCUGGCGGCAUGCCUAACACAUGCAAGUCGAACGCCCCGCAACGGGCGCGGCAGACGGGUGAAUAGCCCGUCGGGACAUACCCUUAUAUGCGAGCUACCUACGAGGAACGGGAAUUACUACCGAAUGUGCCCUUUGUAGGGAAGAUUUAUCGGGUAAGGAUCUGCUCGCGAUGGAUUGGCUAGAUGGCGGGGUAAAGGCCUACUAGCGCGAAGAUCCAUAGCUGGUCUGAGAGGAUGAUCAGCCACAUUGGGACUGCGACACGGAGCAAUCUCGUACGGGAGGCAGCAGUGGGGAAUAUUAGACAGUGGGCGCAAGUCUGAUAAAGCCAUGCCGCGGGAGUGAAGAAGGGCUUAGGGUUGUAAAGCUCUUUCAGCGGAGAAGAUAAUGACGGUAUCCGGAGAAGAAGCCCCGGCUAACUUCGUG
rnacentral:rRNA from 1 species